rnacentral:rRNA from 1 species
UACGUAGGGCGCAAGCGUUGUCCGGAAUUAUUGGGCGUAAAGAGCUCGUAGGUGGUCUGUUGCGUCCGCUGUGAAAACCUAAGGCUUAACCUUGGGCCUGCAGUGGAUACGGGCAGACUAGAGGUAGGUAGGGGAGAAUGGAAUUCCCGGUGUAGCGGUGAAAUGCGCAGAUAUCGGGAGGAACACCGGUGGCGAAGGCGGUUCUCUGGGCCUGUACUGACGCUGAGGAGCGAAAGCGUGGGGAGCGAACAGG